rnacentral:rRNA from 1 species
UACGGAGGGUGCAAGCGUUAUCCGGAUUUACUGGGUUUAAAGGGUGCGUAGGUGGAUUGGUGAGUCAGUGGUGAAAUACUUUCGCUUAACGAAGGAACUGCCAUUGAUACUACCAGUCUUGAAUACAGUGGAGGUGGGCGGAAUGCGUCAUGUAGCGGUGAAAUGCUUAGAUAUGACAUAGAACACCAAUUGCGAAGGCAGCUGGCUACACGAAUAUUGACACUGAUGCACGAAAGCGUGGGGAUCAAACAGG